rnacentral:rRNA from 1 species
CCCUUAGAUGUUCUGGGCUGCACGCGUGCUACACUGAUAUUGCCAAUAUGUCAUUCUUAUCCGAAAUGGAUUGGGUAAUCAAGUAAUGAAAUUUCAUGCUUGGAAUCGGUAAUUGCAAUUUUAUCGUGAACGAGGCAUUCCUAGUAAGCACUAGUCAUCAGCUAAUGUUGAUUAUGUCCCUGCCCUUUGUACACACCGCCCGUCGCUACUACUGAUUGGGUGUUCAAGUGAGAUGCUUAGACCCUUGUUGCAUGGUUCAUUAUUGUGCUCCGAAAGGAAAAAGUUUCAAGCUUGAGUGUCUAGAGGAAGUAAAAGUCGUAACA